CAGGUUCAUCAUAGCCAGUGCUGUAGCCUCCACUAUCCCCGACAGCGCUACACAGAUUUGUUCAUAGUUUGUUUUUUUUAAUAGUCUGGUUCUCCAACGGUCUGAGGGACAGUGAACUGGCCCCCUGUGUAAAAACUUUGGGGAUCCCUGAAAAUGGAAAAUGCUAUCUAAAACAAAGGACUCAAAGUCUACUUGAACUCAAAAGGAAAUUCUACAAAUUGAUUUGAUAUAUCUGCUUAUCCCAGCGGCAGGACAUCGAAUAAAUGAAGCACCAGAUGACCUGCCA
rnacentral:lncRNA from 1 species